rnacentral:misc_RNA from 1 species
ACUCGAUUCCUCUCUCCCUGACACACACACACACACACAGAAAGAAGGGGAUUCGGCAAUCGCCAUUCCGCCAACAUGUCGUCAGAGGAGAAGUUGACAGCCCUCUACGCGCGCCGCCAGGAGAUUCUCAAGGACCUCUCUGAGGUGGAUACGAGCAUCAAGUUCCUCGAAAGUGAGAUCCAAACGAAGGCAACGGAGGCGGCGAAGCGCACCAUCGACGAAAACAAGUCAGGCAACGCGGACGUGGAUCGAGUGAACGAGGUGAUCGCCAGCUGCGUGCGGGAUGCCACGGGGCUUCGAGACGCACUCAAGUUGGUUGAGGCGUGCCGCUACGUACAGGAGUUUGGCAAGGAGGAUGACGCGGCGCGGCAAAAGAUCCCGUUCCGCAACGUGUUCGCGCAGGAGUGCAUUCGCCAUGCGCUGGACCUGUCCAAUGACGCCAACGGAAGCGAACUGAUGCAGCACCUGGUGCCGCUGCUGCGCUCGGGAACAAAGCCGGUCACCAUGGGCGACAUUUUCUACGACCCCACAACGAACGAGCACGACCUGUCGGAAGUGCUGCUGCUGAUUAGGGAGCUUUCCAGCGAUAUUGUCACGGUGGCGUGCAACACGAAUGGCGCGCGCGUCUCCCAGCGCAUCAUCGAUGUGCUGUGCACACAUGAGGAGUUCGAUGUGUACACGAGUGUGCUGGAGCCAUCGAUUGUCGACGUUGCGAAAGACAUUAACGGCAACCACUCCCUCUCAAAGCUGAUCACGUCUGCCCGCUUUUGCCAGCUGGGCGACUCCGACAAGAGUGCCUCCGGCGCUGCCGCGAUAUACGAGCGCAUCUUCCAGAAGAUAGCCGACAACUGCAUCGACAUUUGCAAAAACCGUCAGGGGUGCUGCAUCAUUCAAAAGUGCCUGCAACACGCCCCCAAACCGUAUCACACUACCAUCAUCAACACGGUACUCAACAACUCGCUGAAACUGGUGCAGGAUCCCUUUGGCAACUAUGUUGUUCAGUUCAUUCUCGACAAGCAGCAAGAUAUCAACGGCUCAAAGAAGGAGGACGCUGACGACGACGCCGUGCCGACGGCGCCGAACUACACCAAUCAAAUUAUUAGGCAGAUGCUCCAUCACGUGGCCGAGCUCUCGUGCAACAAGUUUAGCAGCAAUGUGAUUGAGAAGUGCCUGAAGACGUCGUCGCCAGAUGUGCGACAGCUGUUGGUCGACGAACUCACGGCGCCGCAUGUCUUGCCAAAGCUGCUGACAGAUAGCUUCGCGAAUUACGUUAUUCAGACGGCCAUCUCCACCGCCUCCGACGAUGGCCAACUGACGCAGCUGCGCGACGCUAUCAUACCUCUGCAGAGUCUCCUGAAAAACUCCCCGUAUGGCGUGAAGAUCGAGUCGAAGCUAUCCCGGCGCCACCGUGAAGCAGCGCGGCGUCUGCUGAAGAAAAAGGAGGCUGCCACGACCGUCACACAGGCUCCACCUGCACAACAAGAGCCGCUUCUUCCGCCCUACAUGCCCCCACAAGGAAUGUCAGCCAUUCCAAUGAUGGCGCCAGACGCUUCCAUGGGUCAGCAAGUGUCGUUCACCAACCUGAAUGCUGAUAUGGCCUCCUUCUUGCAGCCGCAGCGGAUGAUAGGCAUGCCUUUUGUGUUGCAAGGACAACAGAUGAUCAGCAUCCCCAAUGCACCACCGCCAUCUUUCACCAUGGGCAUGAUCAACGGUAGCGGCCUGCCUGAGUACCGCUAAGCGGUACGCAGUGCCCACCCCUGCCUUCUGUCGAUCCUUCUCGCACGCAAUAACACCGCUCCCCUCCGUGUGGCUCCUCUCCGUCUCCCAUGUGAAGACGAGGGCUUGCUUGCUCUUUUCCCAUUUUACCUUUGUCGCUUUUCCUUCACUCACGUCCAAGCUCGUUCCUUCUCUAGCCUGCUCCGUCCUCUCUCACUCUCUCUCUGUGGCUACCCUAUCCAAAAUGAAGAAAGACAUGACUGUUAUACGCGCUCGGUUUGAUUCGUUGUAUCUUAUUUCCUCUUUUCUUUCCCUUUCCUUUCAUUUUUUUUUCUGUAUUGCGUGUGCGCGUGAAACAAUCGCGCCCAUUGCAACCACCGACACACUGUCAGGCAUCUGAACGUGUGAAAGCUGUUGGCGGUCCUUUAGCGACCGUUUCAACGUCUAAGAGGGCUCCUCGAGGUGCCGAGGUGCUGCUACGGCGGGAACAAGAGACUCGAGGGCAUCAACGCUGUGCGCUACUCUUGUGGGAGUGUUGUAAACUCAGCUGAGUGGCUCUUGCAGCGCCAUCGCUCAGUAGGGAGUCCUUGAGCGCAUGCGCGUGUUUGUGGACUGCUCACGCGGCACAGAGUGUCGCUCGACGCUGCGUUGGGCGCGGAAAGGCCCCGUUUGCCAACUUCCUCGCUUGAGAGGUUAAGUCUCGGACGAAAACGAGAUGUCGACCCAGGCAACACAUCCACAAGACGCUGCUGUCCUCUCGCAGCCAACGCUUUAAGUAGGUGUUGCUGUGUCUUUGCUACAGUGGAUCCCAGCAAGCGUUCCACCCACUGAAAAGAGCAAGAAGACACCAGGGCGCGAUCACCACGGUUACCUCGAAAAAAAAAGUGCCACACGUUCCAUGAAGCAUAACAACUAGAGAAAACAUGAAUGACAGCACCACAGACAAAAAAAAAACUGGCGGGAUUGCAGAAGGAGUACACGGAUGAGGUGGAUGCCCUUACUCGUCUCGUCUUUUCCUUUUUCUUCGUUUCGUCAGCACAUGCCUGGGAGACACCGAGGAGAGCGGUGGGCUGAGGGGCGAUAGCUACAGAUCUUGUACGUGCUCAAGACGCACUCUUGAUCUCAGUGGUGUUCUUCUUUGUUUCCAUGUUUCCUCUGAGGAUGGUGACGCGUUCCUCUGUGCUUCAUUCUUACAGUUGAAGAAAACGUUCAUUUUGUUUCUGUUGUUGGCUCUCUUUUCGCUUGUUUGUGCUCUCUCUUGUUUUUGUGCGGGACGGUGCGCAUGCGUGUUCCUGCGCAUGGAUGUGCGGGUGUGUGUCCUCGUCAUUCUUAAUUAACUCUCUAAGAAAAAAAGAAGACCCCAAAGCCACCUAUGCAAGCGAUGGAGAGCACAGAGAACAACAGCAGAAUACCAAACG